rnacentral:rRNA from 1 species
GACGAACGCUGGCGGCGUGCUUAACACAUGCAAGACGAACGGAAAGGCCCUGCUUUUGUGGGGUGCUCGAGUGGCGAACGGGUGAGUAACACGUGAGUAACCUGCCCUUGACUUUGGGAUAACUUCAGGAAACUGGGGCUAAUACCGGAUAGGAGCUCCUGCUGCAUGGUGGGGGUUGGAAAGUUUCGGCGGUUGGGGAUGGACUCGCGGCUUAUCAGCUUGUUGGUGGGGUAGUGGCUUACCAAGGCUUUGACGGGUAGCCGGCCUGAGAGGGUGACCGGCCACAUUGGGACUGAGAUACGGCCCAGACUGCUACGGGAGGCAGCAGUGGGGAAUAUUGCACAAUGGGCGGAAGCCUGAUGCAGCAACGCCGCGUGCGGGAUGACGGCCUUCGGGUUGUAAACCGCUUUCGCCUGUGACGAAGCGUGAGUGACGGUAAUGGGUAAAGAAGCACCGGCUAACUACGUG